AAGUGCUAUCAUACCAGCACUAAUGCAACGGUUCCGAUCAUAAUUUCGUAGUUAACCGUGCUUGGAUGAGAGUAGUAAUAGGAUGGGUGACCACCUAGGAAGUCCUCGUGUUGCACCAU
rnacentral:rRNA from 2 species